rnacentral:rRNA from 1 species
GCAGGCUGCAACUCGCCUGCAUGAAGUCGGAAUUGCUAGUAAUCGCGGAUCAGCAUGCCGCGGUGAAUACGUUCCCGGGCCUUGUACACACCGCCCGUCACACCAUGAGAGCCGGUAACACCCGAAGUCAAUAGUCUAACCGCAAGGAGGACAUUGCCGAAGGUGGGAUUGGUAAUUGGGGUGAAGUCGUAACAAGGUACC